rnacentral:rRNA from 1 species
GACGAACCGUGCGAACGUUAUUCGGAAUCACUGGGCUUAAAGGGCGCGUAGGCGGGUUGCCAAGUCUGUGGUGAAAUCCUCCAGCUUAACCGGAAAAGUGCCUUGGAUACUGCUCGUCUGGAGGAAGGUAGGGGCAGGUGGAACUUCUGGUGGAGCGGUGAAAUGCGUUGAUAUCAGGAAGAACACCUAUGGCGAAGGCAGCACUCUGGGACGGUACUGACGCUGAGACGCGAAAGCGUGGGGAGCGAACAGG